GCGAGAAUAGUCUAGUGGUUAUGAUGUCGCCUUUACACGGCGAAGGUCGGGGUACGUUACCUUCGUAUA